rnacentral:ncRNA from 1 species
GAGAGCCGUAUUCUUGGAAACUUGGAAGUACGGUUCGGGGGAAGGCUGACGCGCGACCCUUCGGGGCGUUCGCAGCCGAUCCCAC